UACGGAGGGGGCUAGCGUUGUUCGGAAUUACUGGGCGUAAAGCGCGCGUAGGCGGACCUGCAAGUCGGGGGUGAAAGCCCGUGGCUCAACCUCGGAACUGCCUUCGAUACUGCGGGUCUCGAGUCCGGGAGAGGUGAGUGGAAUUCCUAGUGUAGAGGUGAAAUUCGUAGAUAUUAGGAAGAACACCAGUGGCGAAGGCGGAGACCUGGGCCGAUACUGACGCUGAGGUGCGAAAGCGUGGGGAUCAAACAGG
rnacentral:rRNA from 1 species